ACAUUAAACCCAUUAAGUCUAACUACCCUUCAAAUCAGUCUUGUCCAUUGGAUCAUGCUGAAAAUAAAUCUUGACCCUUUAAACUUCUAUUUUUAACUGCUAUUGUGGCAGUUCUGGGCGGUUCUGUACGCCCCUCAUUUUCCGGCCCAUCUUUCCCACUAAACACGGUUGCUACAAAAUUGGGACGUGGGUAAACUGCAGUUGCCAACCGAUCUUAUAUAACAUAUUCGCCUCCAUACAUGAUAUCAUAUAUACACAGAAACACAAAGAUGGCACCGUUAUUCAAUCGCGAUCUCAAACCUACAUUCAAGCGUUCUUCAUUCGCGAUCUGUCGAGACCUAAAUUUCCCGUUGUUGCUAAAUGUUUGAUCAGAGAAAUUAGGUUAGAUCAGAGAAAUUUGAAACCGUCUGGAGCAGAAGAAACCAAAAUGGCUCUUUCCAAAGCCAAGGCAAGGCAUGGAAAUCGUUUCCUCAAACCCCCUCGUCCUCUUUACAAUUCAGUUUUUUAGAUUUUGUUUCUGUUGUUUUAUUUAUUCACUUUCAUUUACUUAUGUCUGGCCAUCUUAUUUUCACCCAUGUAUCACCACAGGCUGAAUUAGUGGUUGUGUCACUUGCUUAUUGUUAUUGCUUUUGAUAAGAAGUCGAAACAGAGAUGGAAGAAUAUGAACAAGAGCAAGAGCAAGACAUACCUAAUGAUAAUGGAUUGAAAUCAGCGGGGGACAAUAGUUUUGGGCUGGAUUUCUCUUUACCAGUAGUUAAAUGAUACCUAGCAAUCACACUCUCCGUGUAGACUUCCAUGGUCUUUUAUGAGAAUUCUGGGUUGCAAAAAGUGUAUGCCACAGUGUGGUAUUGUCAGGAAAAGCAAGUGUUGGAGCUGCUGCACUACUAAAAAGGGCGGUUAGUAAAUUUAAUUUAACCUUACGUUCAAUUCGCUUAGCAUGAUAAGCAGAAGUGGAAAAUGGACGGGUUGGGUAACGGGUCAUUUCUAUUACAUGUGUUUAUUUCCUUCAAGUACAUUAUGAAAAUGUGUGUUAUAUUGGUCAAAUAGAGAUAGGAAAAUGGAUGGGUGGGCAGAGUCAAACGGCUAAUUUUUUUAAUAUGUGUGUUAAUUUGGUCAAGUACAAUAUGGAAACUGGUCCAACUAGCUAACCAAUCUGUUUGGCUCAACAAUUACUUUUCAUCUCCUAACUACAUUGAAUGAGCUCAUGAUGCUUUCAAAGGAUAUGCUAUUAAGCAAUACGAUCCAAAAAGUGGUUUCUAACCUUUUUAUAAAACCCAAACUAUUCUUUAAAAUUUGCUAAUCUGAUUAUCUCCUUGAGUAUUUAUAAGAGUUUAAAUCUUUUUAAUUUAGAAGGUAUGUCCUACUUUUGGUGUACCAUUAAUAAAGAGGAUUCUUGAUAAUUUCGCCCCAAAUGAGUUUUUCCCAGGCCCUCUUGCUGAAGUGGUGCUUGAAGCACUGGAGUCAGGGGACAGUUUCUCUGGAUUUUUUUUCUUACUUAUGCUUUAAACAUUUAAAAUAACCAGAAGUUGCAUGUUCAUUGCUUUUAAGAUAUUCAAUAUUUUUUCAAAAAUUAUGUACUCGAUAUUUAAACUGUCUCUUUAUAAUUCUUUUUCAUAAAGCAUUGUGAUACUUGAUUCCAUGUUCAGCACUUGCUUCGUAAGCUUGAAAGCGAGUCAUGCAUCGGAAAGACGUUAACCUCUUUACAAGUCAUUUAUAGCAAUCUGUACAUACUGUAACCAUAUUCCUCUUUUUCUAUCUAUAAUGCUUCUAUACCUGUGUUGCAUCUAGACUAAGUACCUUUACAUUUGUAAGUGGAUUGUGAACUUUCAACUGAUGCUAAGGUUAUGAAAUUCGUGCCAUCACAAUCA